UGUUGAUGAAAUUAAGAUCAAUCAGACCCAAGCACAUAUAAAUUAGAACACUGGUGUUUCACUUCCAGGGCACUUCAGAUUAGACUUUCAGGGAUGAACCACUCAAACUGUUAACAGUAUAAUAAUGUGAAGACACAUUACAAAAGUAAUAUGUUAUUUGAGUCAGAUGCCACUUGAAGCUCGCUAAUUAUAGAGAUAUUUUGAUAAGGUUAAAUGUUUUCUUUAUGACAGCAACAGACAUCAAAUGCCAUGUUUACUUUCCAGCACAGAUACACUCGGCUCCUGUCCAAUGACAGGCUGCAGCUACAACUAUCUAACAACUCCCACAUGCACCCAUACUCACUGCCUUACUCUCUCUUUCUCUCCAUUUUGCACACAAACACACAGAGCAACACGCAGGCUCCAAAUGCUUUCUAUUUUUGUGAUCAUAAUUAUUUGAUGACAGGGCUUCUGGUUUCGCAACCACCCUUUUGUACACUCGAUCUAUCUGUGAAUAAUUUAGCACUGAGAGCUAGAAAGGUGGGUCCCUUAAAACAGCAGGUACAGGCAAACUCUGGAGGCAGGACACACAGAGAGAGCAUUGCCAUCCUAUCUUUGUCAUCCGCCUACUCCUUACUCACAGCUCUUUAGUCCGGCUGCUGUGCUUCCAUCGAGCUGUAUAUUAAUCCAAGUUUUAUUUAUUUAUAUUUAUUUAUCCAUCCUUACAAACAACCUUUCAGCACAGCAGGCUCCACAGUGUCCAGCUAGAAGAAGAAGGUGAGGAGCUCAUUGGAUGGAGUGACCCCCUUUCUGCAUCCACUCUUCAAUCAGCCAUCAUGGAGGAACUCCAGAGAAAACUGAAUCAGCGCUAUGAAGACACCAAACCAAGAAAGGUGAGGUUCAAGCUGGCAUCAUCCUACAGUGGCCGAGUGCUGAAGCACGUGUACGAGGACGGUCAAGAGCUGGACAGCCCCGAGGAGAAAUACCCUCACAGCUUUAUCCACCGCAAAAUCCCUCCCAGCCACCUCGAGAUGGAGCAGCUCUGCGGGUUUGAGGACACUCAUGGAGACCAACAGAGUGUCUAUCCUCCAACAGGGCUCAUAGCCCAGAGAAUAAAUGUAUAUAGAGGAAUGGGAAGCUACAAACCUGCAGUUGGCCAGACUGAGGAAGGAGAGGGAGACAGCAAGUCCCCAGUGUUGGACUUUGGUAAGAUAAUCAUCUAUACCAGCAAUCUGCGCAUUAUCAAAGCACCGCAGAAGAAGCCUGAAAUGUUUCGGCAGCACACAGUGCCUCUCAUUGACUUGGAAGGAUACCCAAAGGCCAGGGAAAGGGGGAGCAGGAGGAGGGCUAAAGCACUUUUCACACAGGAGGAGGUGGAGAAGGAGGAGAAACAGAUCUGCGACACUGAUACCAAGGAGGCCGACAGCUGCCAGCAUUGUGGCGGUUCGGGCUCCGCUCCCUGCUCUCUGUGUCACGGUAGCAAGCUGUCCAUGCUGGCGAACCGCUUCAAUGAGUCCAUCAGUGAUCUGCGUUGCCAAGCCUGCUACCCCUAUGGUCUGGAGAAGUGCCAGUCCUGCUCCAGUAAAUAGCACCAUUUGGCUGACACCCAUAUCUGGCAGUGAGAGAGCGAGAGUGUGAGUGAGUGAAUGAGAGUGUGUGGCUGAGUGAGUGUAAGCCCAGUGUGCUACGGGUUUGUCAGAAUUGUCUCAGUGGCAGUUUUGCUCUAAUCCAAAACGUUCUUGGUGGGGUGUUUCGAAGCACUACUAGGAAACAUAAGCCAUCAUUGGACAUUGGAGAGGGGGGUUGUGACUGUGGGCACAAAAUCAUAAAAUACAAUUACUGUGUGCAGUGAACAUGGCUCGCGAUAACACAAAUACAUAAUCACUUUUUUUUUGUUGUCACGUUAUUUUGCAUCUGCUGCCUUCAUCCUGAUAAAACCUGGUUCCACAACAGAGUUAUCAUUUUAAUUAAAAUGAUGCAAACAUUUCGCAGUUUAUUGUGUCUACUGGGAAGGGUUCCCUGUUCAUAGCUCCCCUGUCUAUUCACCAGAGACACUGAAACCUUUUUCACUUGAACGUAAUGGGUUGUACGAGGAUAAUUGAUGCUGUUAUUUUUUAGAAAAAUACAGAGAGGAAUGAGACAAAUGGGACUGUUUGAUAAACGGCGACAGCAAUAAUCAGGAGAUGAUGUUUAAUGUGAGUUACCCCCAAAUAACGGUGUUACUGCAACACAGACGUGCGUGUCGACCAGAGCUUUUCUUGUUGGUGGGAGGUAAAUAUGCAAACUUUUUAAGCCACAUUUCAUCUCAACAAAUAAUAAAUGUUUGACAUUCUCAGUAUUGAUUUCAGAUAGUGUGUUAAUAAUAAAAGACUAAGAGGUGUUAUGGAUGAAAAUAUGAAUGAAAAUAAUGAUUUAAAUGACAGAAAUGAUUUAUUGUAGACCAGCUCAGGAGAUUGGGAUUGUUUUGUAACAUUUUUAGAUCAUUUAAAGAUAUAUCUACACAUUUUGGGGGGAAAUUAAUUAAAUAAAAAUACCUGAAUACCUUUUCAAUGUUAUUUUUUUAAAUUUUAUUAAUUAUUGUUUUAAAGUUUAGCUUUUGAUGCAAAAAGGAUUGUUGUAUGGAUCAGAUUACUGAUUUUUUAAAAUCUUUCUCUGUAUAAUCCACAUCCCAGAGUGCCCAUGGAGACAUGUUUUUAUGGCAACAUUUCAGAUCUUAUCUAUUAAAACAGUGAAGCUUGCAGUGAGCAUAUGUUUUAUUGACUUUAUUCCUAAAAGUCUCCUGUCUUUUCACUGAGCCUUAUGCGUCACUCUCUGUCUCCAAUCAUACAUGUUUGAUUACCUAAAAUUCUUUCCUCAGAUGGCUGUUUUUACUGUGAGUUAGUUGUUUAUUGGUACAAAUUUGAAAAACAGGAAACAUGCAACACGCCGCAUAAUCCCCAGUCUCUGCAUCGUAUUCAUUGCACCUCAAAUCAAAGGCAAUCAACCAUCAUACUUUCUAUCAUGACAUUUGAGGAUGAUUUAACAGAAAAGGAAAACAAAAUUAAAUCUUUUUGCCUCACUGGGAAAGGCUUUUAAUAGCUCUGACACUGCUGUUGUCAGCUUUGAGUGAUCACCUUCAUGCAUUUGAUUUGUGCAAGGUUACAUCAACUCAUCGCAAGCUCUAAUGAAAUCUACCCAUCAGGUUUUUUCAAGUCUUUAAAGUUUAACUUUAAAGUCCAAAAUCAGAGGAUUUCUCAUGUCUGUUACUGUGCAUUUGACUUCAGUUUGCAGUUCAAAACAGCAGGCUCCCUUUAGUAUGCCUUUAUAAUCAAAUCUGAACUACAGUGAUCCCCAGGACAUUUUCCAGUGGCUGCUGAAGUAGCAUUUUUCACCACUACCUUUAUUUAGCAAGGCAGAGAUGAUCAAUCAAAUUCUUUUUCAAUAGCACUGACCACAUCUUCUGGGAUGUCAGUGGCAAAAACUCAUGCCAGACAAGCACCAUUAGAGCCCUCUAUCCCUGCCUCUGCACCUAUAUUUGUGCUUGGACUUCAUCUAUUUUAUUCUGUUUAAAAGGAAACUAUAAGGGUUAGCAGCAGCCUGGUCAAAUGCCCCAUCAGCAAUCAGAUUCUGUCUAUUUCAGGGAUGACCACGGUAGCCCAAAUCCGCACUCUUGUUCUUUUUUCACUCUAUAUUCUCUCUUUUUCUCUCUUGCUCUCUUUCUCUGCUUAAAAAAUCUGCCACCCAUGCAGAAGUUAAAAUUGUGUUUUUCCAACGUUGUCAUUUUAGCGCUUCUCACUCAGUAUUCCACGGGGUAAACCAAAGUGAGGGGAAACUGGGUCACUGCCACUGUUCUUGGCCUCCUCUAUCCUGCAGGACCUACAGUGAUAAGGGAGAAGCUGAUCAUAGGGGAACACCUCCUACUGUCUUUUCUGUUAUGCCAACUACCUCAAUCUACCAACCUCCUCAAGAGUCUUAAUCAUUAAAGCGAGGCAGGGAGCAAGUGUCACUUGAGUGGAGUCCACUGCAACAGAGGGAGAGGAGGAUUAUUACCAGGCAAAGACUGUUUCUUCAGAGCGUGGGUGAGGAAUGCUUACUUGAGAAACGGAGAGCAAUGAAUUGAGAGGUGGAGUGAGUGUCAGAGAGCACGAUGAAGCAAAUGAACCAAGAUGUCUGAACUUCUCUGUCUUUCCCAGCAUUACAAGGGGAAACGGCGAGCAGGAAGGCAGGCAGGAAAAGUCUUUUGCUAUAUCCGGAGUGCCAUGGAGAAGUGUUGAGCAGAAGAGGCCCGCAGGGAAGUGUUCAGCAGUAGCGGGAUGGCAGAGUGCACCAGCAAAACCAGAAGGGUGACAGAUCCAACGCAGAGGAAACUGGAGACACAAGGAGUAACAAGACCUCUUUAUGAAGCGAGUGACAGUGCAGACGAUCAAAGAAUCACUGUGACCAGGAGCACACAAGUGAUUAAUUAAGGUUUGUAGAAUAGUGAUGUGACUAUAGUUUGGGUGUGUGUGUGUGACUAUUAGCUGUGAAUGUAUUAAUACCCGUGACAUGAAUGACAAUAUGCCUCUGUGUGUGCAUGUUUGCACACACUUAAGUGCUCUGUUUGUGAACAGCAGUGGUAUGAACUCAUUUGCUUUAUAAAUGAAUGCUAUUAGUGAAAGUAGAUGGUAUAGUACUUGAAUGGAGGAAGACAUCAAAGCAAUCAUAACUGUUUGCUCGCCAAGUACUCAAUAUGCUGUAUCUAAAUUAAACUCUGAAUGAUAUCACUGAGUGCAUUACAGCAGGGGUAGGCAACAUGGUUUUAGGAUCAUUGGACAGGGAAGUAGUCCUUGAUAGCCUUUCAGCGUAUUGUCAUAUUGUCAUAGGGUCUGAGAGGGAAAUAGGUUUGUUUUAAACUUUAGUAAAUCUAGCCCCUAAAAGGAAGCUUUGGCCCAUCACAGGACUUUUUAGACCCCUUUAGGUGAGUAACAUCCAUCCGUCCAUUUUCUUCCACGUAUCCUUGUCAGGGUUGUGGGAGGGGCAGCUGUACGGUAUAUCCUGGACAGGUUGCAGGGCAUGGGCUCAGAGAGACAGUCAACCAUUCACGCUCAUAUUCACAAAUAUG